UAUCGGUCAAGAUGAAAGACCUGCAUCUGCAUGGGUGAAGAGGUAGAUCAAGAUCUUGACGCUGUAUGACGUCAACCAAUCCAUCGCAACCUUUGAAGUUGAUUUCGUCGAGUGGCCUCUGCUUUGCCACAAAGAGAUGCACUGAAAAGAGGGAGAAAACAUUCUUCUCUGCUUGCUCGGUUACAAGCUAGCUAAUGGAUUAUGGAUGCUCCUGGAGAGAUGGAGCAAGCCAGGGGCGACCAGCCUCGGACUUGCCGGUUGCCGCCUCUGCCAUGGCGCGGCCCGGCGUCUGCGCGUGGUGGCACAACUAUGCAAGGGUGGUCACGUCUAGCCAUGGUAUGGUGGGUGUGCCAAGGCAUGGCUAGGUGGCCGCGUGAACACGGCAAUUGGCGAUGCACACCACCUGUUGGGCGAAAUGUGUGGCCGGUGAGACAUUGUUCGGAUUUCACCUUUAUAUCUUUUCCUUUUCUGUUUAUCUUGAAUUGAUUCUGCUUCUUCUGCAUUACGGUUGGUUUUGAACCCCAAGACGGAAGAAGAUGGCCGUGGCCGAGGCAUGGACUCAUCUAGGUGAAGGGCGACACCCACAGCCAAAAGUACGUCGACGAGGCCACCAAGAAGGAGGUCAAGGACAUCUUUCGGCCGCUAUGACCGCACCCUCCUCGUCGCCGACCCCAGGCGCUGCGAGCCCAAGAAGUUUGGUGGGCGCGGAGGGGUCGGGCGAGAUAGGCCAACAAGUGCACUUGAAUGCUGGAUCUAGGAAAAUGCUUCCAUACUAGGAACAACACUCUAAUGAAACAUCGAGUUGCUCCAGAACAAUAACAAUGCACAAGACGGAAUUUUCUGACCCAAAUCUUAAGCUGGCCAUCAGUUUUUAACUCAGGAGAGCUGCAUGUUAUAUUGAAAAGUAGGAAACACCCAGAGGGGCGAAGGUAAAAUUUACAAGGCAGAACAAGAAAAACGGAGCUCCAACAGCUGCCAAGUGGGAUUAAUAUGUUUGAUCUUGCUAAUAUUGACAGUGUACUGGCAAAGCCGCGCUGUGUUUCUAGUA